AUCAGAUCAAUAAUUCCAAAACGACUUCAUGCCCAAGAGAAACGGAAGACCUUUUUCAAUUUCAGAUUUACUAGGAUUCAAAUUUACCAUAUAUGGUGAGGAAAGACCUAUCAGCACUCCAGAGCUUUAGGAAACAUCAAGAAAGUAACUGUUAUUGGAUGCAGGUCCUUGGACCCAGUGGCUACUAUGCUGAAGAGUCAUUCGCUUGGGCAAUUAAUGGAUGAAUCCAAAUCUGUUGUGUUUUUGCUUGAGCCAUUUGCUUUAUUUCAUUUCUUCUUCCUGCUCAUGCAAUGAGGCUAUGUCAUUUUUUAACUGAUUCCUUUUGUGGCUUUUGAUUGUUUUAAUGGGUGUAUGGUUUGUUAGUUGAUUGCUCUGCUGUCUUGCUUUCAUUUCCUUUCAUUCAUGAACAAUUGUGCAUAUUUCCCAAUAUUUUAAAUUUUUGCUGGCUGCUUUGGUUUCUUUUUGAAGAAAAAUUAGGAUAUAGUUUAAAAAAUAAAUAAAAUGUAACAUUAUCUGAUAUAUGAAUUAAAUUUGUGAUUGCAUUUGACAUCA